rnacentral:rRNA from 1 species
GGUUAAGUGACUAAGCGUACAGGGCGGAUGCCUUGGCAAUCAGAGGCGAAGAAGGACGUGCUAAUCUGCGAAAAGCUUGGAUGAGUCGAUAAGAGGCGUUUAAUCCAAGAUAUCCGAAUGGGGAAACCCAGUAGAUGAAGAAUCUACUAUCACUUACUGAAUACAUAGGUAAGUGAGGCGAACCGGGAGAACUGAAACAUCUAAGUACCCCGAGGAAAAGAAAUCAACCGAGAUUCUGUAAGUAGCGGCGAGCGAAAGCGGAAGAGCCAGUGAGUGUUAGCUAGUGAAUUAGAGGAAUCGGCUGGGAAGCCGAAUCAAAGAGGGUGAUAAUCCCGUACUCGAAAAUUCACGAGUGGAACUAAGCUCACAAUAAGUAAGGCGGGACACGAGAAAUCCUGUUUGAAGAUGGGGGGACCAUCCUCCAAGGCUAAAUACUCCUGAUUGACCGAUAGUGAACCAGUACUGUGAAGGAAAGGCGAAAAGAACCCCGGUGAGGGGAGUGAAAUAGAACCUGAAACCCUGUACGUACAAGCAGUGGGAGCCCGAAAGGGUGACUGCGUACCUUUUGUAUAAUGGGUCAGCGACUUAUAUUUUGUAGCGAGGUUAACUGAAUAAGGGAGCCGAAGGGAAACCGAGUCUUAACUGGGCGUUGAGUUGCAAGGUAUAGACCCGAAACCCGGUGAUCUAGCCAUGGGCAGGUUGAAGGUUGGGUAACACUAACUGGAGGACCGAACCGACUAAUGUUGAAAAAUUAGCGGAUGACUUGUGGCUGGGGGUGAAAGGCCAAUCAAACCGGGAGAUAGCUGGUUCUCCCCGAAAUCUAUUUAGGUAGAGCCUUGAGCGGACACCUUCGGGGGUAGAGCACUGUUUCGGCUAGGGGUCCAUCCCGGAUUACCAACCCGAUGCAAACUACGAAUACCGAAGAGUGAUACUCAGGAGACACACGGCGGGUGCUAACGUUCGUCGUGGAGAGGGAAACAACCCAGACCGCCAGCUAAGGUCCCCAAGUCUAUAUUAAGUGGGAAACGAAGUGGGAAGGCUUAGACAGCUAGGAUGUUGGCUUAGAAGCAGCCAUCAUUUAAAGAAAGCGUAAUAGCUCACUAGUCGAGUCGGCCUGCGCGGAAGAUGUAACGGGGCUCAAAUAUAGCACCGAAGCUGCGGCAUCAGAUGUAAAUCUGUUGGGUAGGGGAGCGUUGUGUAAGCGGAUGAAGGUUGCUCGAGAGGGUGGCUGGACGUAUCACAAGUGCGAAUGCUGACAUAAGUAACGAUAAAACGAGUGAAAAACUCGUUCGCCGGAAGACCAAGGGUUCCUGUCCAACGUUAAUCGGGGCAGGGUGAGUCGGCCCCUAAGGCGAGGCUGAAAAGCGUAGUCGAUGGGAAACGGGUUAAUAUUCCCGUACUUGGAUAAACUGCGAUGUGGGGACGGAGAAGGUUAGGUAAGCGAACUGUUGGAUAUGUUCGUUUAAGCAGGUAGUUGGAAAGGGUAGGCAAAUCCGCUCUUUCAUACAACAACGAGACGUGAUGACGAGGCUCUACGGAGCUGAAGUUACCGAUACC